GCUUUUGCGGGCAGGCUUACACAUGCAGUCGAGCGGUAGCACAGGGGAGCUUGCUCCCUGGGUGACGAGCGGCGGACGGGUGAGUAAUGUCUGGGAAACUGCCUGAUGGAGGGGGAUAACUACUGGAAACGGUAGCUAAUACCGCAUAACGUCGCAAGACCAAAGAGGGGGACCUUCGGGCCUCUUGCCAUCAGAUGUGCCCAGAUGGGAUUAGCUAGUAGGUGGGGUAAUGGCUCACCUAGGCGACGAUCCCUAGCUGGUCUGAGAGGAUGACCAGCCACACUGGAACUGAGACACGGUCCAGACUCCUACGGGAGGCAGCAGUGGGGAAUAUUGCACAAUGGGCGCAAGCCUGAUGCAGCCAUGCCGCGUGUGUGAAGAAGGCCUUCGGGUUGUAAAGCACUUUCAGCGAGGAGGAAGGUGGUGAGCUUAAUACGCUCAUCAAUUGACGUUACUCGCAGAAGAAGCACCGGCUAACUCCGUGCCAGCAGCCGCGGUAAUACGGAGGGUGCAAGCGUUAAUCGGAAUUACUGGGCGUAAAGCGCACGCAGGCGGUUUGUUAAGUCAGAUGUGAAAUCCCCGGGCUCAACCUGGGAACUGCAUUUGAAACUGGCAAGCUAGAGUCUCGUAGAGGGGGGUAGAAUUCCAGGUGUAGCGGUGAAAUGCGUAGAGAUCUGGAGGAAUACCGGUGGCGAAGGCGGCCCCCUGGACGAAGACUGACGCUCAGGUGCGAAAGCGUGGGGAGCAAACAGGAUUAGAUACCCUGGUAGUCCACGCUGUAAACGAUGUCGAUUUGGAGGUUGUGCCCUUGAGGCGUGGCUUCCGGAGCUAACGCGUUAAAUCGACCGCCUGGGGAGUACGGCCGCAAGGGUUAAAACUCAAAUGAAUUGACGGGGGCCCGCACAAGCGGUGGAGCAUGUGGUUUAAUUCGAUGCAACGCGAAGAACCUUACCUACUCUUGACAUCCAGAGAACUUUCCAGAGAUGGAUUGGUGCCUUCGGGAACUCUGAGACAGGUGCUGCAUGGCUGUCGUCAGCUCGUGUUGUGAAAUGUUGGGUUAAGUCCCGCAACGAGCGCAACCUAUCUUUGUGCAGCGGAUCGGCCGGAACUCAAGGAACUGCAGUCGAUAACUGGGAGGAAGUUGGGAUGACGUCAGUCAUCAUGCCUUACGAGUAGGCUUACACCACGAUGUCA
rnacentral:rRNA from 1 species